AUUGAACGCUGGCGGCAUGCCUUACACAUGCAAGUCGAACGGCAGCAUGAUCUAGCUUGCUAGAUUGAUGGCGAGUGGCGAACGGGUGAGUAAUCCAUCGGAACGUGCCCUGUAGUGGGGGAUAACUAGUCGAAAGAUAAGCUAAUACCGCAUACGACCUGAGGGUGAAAGGGGGGGACGGAAAGGCCCCAUGCUAUAGGAGCGGCCGAUGUCUGAUUAGCUAGUUGGUGAGGUAAAGGCUCACCAAGGCGACGAUCAGUAGCUGGUCUGAGAGGACGAUCAGCCACACUGGGACUGAGACACGGCCCAGACUCCUACGGGAGGCAGCAGUGGGGAAUUUUGGACAAUGGGCGAAAGCCUGAUCCAGCAAUGCCGCGUGUGUGAAGAAGGCCUUCGGGUUGUAAAGCACUUUUGUCCGGAAAGAAAUGGCUCUGGUUAAUACCUGGGGUCGAUGACGGUACCGGAAGAAUAAGGACCGGCUAACUACGUG
rnacentral:rRNA from 1 species